GAGAGUUAAAUAGUACGUGAAAUUGUUGAAAGGGAAACGAUUGAAGUCAGUCAUGCUAGUGAAAAAUCAGUUUGACGGGUUUUGAGUUUAGGAGUAGAGGCAGGGUCAAACCGUUUCUCUUUUGGACUUGGGAUUUGUCGGAUGUACUUUUUCUUUGGCAGGUCAGCGUCGGUUUCGGAGGUUGUAAAAUACUUGGGAGAAAGUAGCUCUGCUUCGGGAGAGUAUUAUAGACCCUGGGGGAUGCAGCCUGUGGGAUCGAGGAUUGCAGCAAAUGCCUUUGGCUUGUCGCCUGAUCUCUGGAUGUUACCUUGCUUGUGACAACAUUCUUGCCACCAGUGAGUACUGAUGCCCAUUAGGUUAGAACGAUCAAAAAUUUGCUAAGGAUGCUGACGUAAUGGCUUUAAACGA
rnacentral:rRNA from 1 species